CUAAACUUUCAAGUAAUCGCAACUUUGUUUUAAUAGAUCGUUAAAAGCGAGGAAUUAUACCGUUCGCGAUGAACAACGUGGUUUCGAUCGGUCAUCACCAUCUCCUCGAGAACUUCAACGUAGUAUAAUAAAGAGAUCUUUUCUGAGUUUGUGUAGUUUGGCCGGAAUUAAAGAAAUUCGAAGAUAAGAAAAGCUUCGAGAAUGUAUUCGAUUGGUUCUUGACCGUUUGCCGCAGAAUAAUUUGUAUCGAGAGUUUGCAUUGUGCCAUGUGCAUUUAUGCGAUCGAAUAUUCGGAGAGGGAAUCAAAGAAGUUGUAAAUUUAGCUGGUAUCGAGUUUCAAUCGAUGGCUUUGAUUUAGGUUGAAUGGGAGAAAAUAACUUCACCUAGAAAUAUAAUUAUACGGUUUAGUUUUCGUUCUGAAAUUGAUUAAGAGAAUAAAAUGCUUCGCCUAGAAAUAUAAUUAUGUGAUUUAAUGAGAGAAGGUCACGCCAUCGAUAUAUUUUGCAACUACUUGUUGCUCCCCAACGAAGUGGCUGUCAUUAAUGUUGUACAAUAGGUAAUACCAUAAUACAUCGUUAUACCAUAAAGGUAAAGGUUAAACAAUUGCAUUGUAAUGCAAUUAUAAGCAUAGUUACCAUAAAGAGAUUAAUAAAUGUCUCUCGACGAAUUUAUUCCAGAAAAUUUGUGUUUAAUAAAAAGAUACACAUAUCAAAUUAUAAAAAUCUAAACGACAACAGUUUCCAUCUCAUACAAAUCAAGAUGUAUCUAGUUUAUUUAUUGCUUUUGCUUUCUCUUGUUAUUUUAUAAUCUCAUAUGGCAUUAUGAAAAUUAAAGAUUUGAAAGAACUAUUUUGUAAUACUACUCGUCCACGUUUCAUCAACUAAAACAUCCUGAACUUAUCUGAAGAUUGAUAAAAAAGAUGGUCAAAUCAAGCGGAAAGGAGAUGACGUAUGCAUUGCUUUUAUGAAAUGAUCUUCUCAUCAUGGAUAAAUCCGGUUUUGAAUUGAUAAGGAAAUCUUAUUAAUCCUUUUUCUUCUAUGAACAAGGUAAUAUAUAAUAUAAGAAAAGUUCGAACAUUUUUGUUAGCAUUUUCCUAAUAAUUUUUAAAAUUGCUAUAAAUAUUAUAUUGUUGUAAACAUUUGAGAUUAAUAUAUCGAUACAUUUAAUGUAAUAUCACAUAAUACUAUCUAACAAAAAUUUAAAAAAGAUAAGACUAGAAAUGCUUUCAAAAAUGUUAUGUAUUUUUCAAAAAAUACACUCUUAAAAACAAAUAUUUUUCUUUUUUUUUCUUUUACACGAAAUACAGUAUAAUAUCUCUCUUGCACAAAAUAACAUUGUAUUUCUAUAAAAUACAAUAUAUCUCUUUUACAUAAAAUAACAUUAUAGUUCUAUAAAAUAUAACAUAUUUCUUUUACGCGAAAUAAAUAUUGAAAUAAAUAUUGGAAAACAGGCACGCGAAAUAUUUCGUUCAAAAUGUCGCACGAACGAAAUUGCGUCGCGAAAUAUCACGUCCGCAGAUGCGUAGGGGUUAACCGUGAUAACUCGUUUUGGUUUUCUGAUUGAGUUAUUCCAACAUUGAAUGCCUGGUCCCACCAGAAAAACGAGCAACGAGAUGUUUUGGUGGUGAAAAAUAAGAAGAAUAAUAUGUUUCUAUGUGCAUGUAUAUUAUACUCAUACGUAUAUAACUGUUUGAAUGUUUCAUUGUAUACGUAUUACAUUGCACUUUCAAUUUUGUUGUCUUAUUAAAGUCACGUGAAUAUUAUAUAGGAUUAUUAUUUUAAGAUCAUAGAUUA